rnacentral:rRNA from 1 species
CUCGCGGCCUAUCAGCUAGUUGGUGAGGUAAUGGCUCACCAAGGCGACGACGGGUAGCCGGCCUGAGAGGGUGACCGGCCACACUGGGACUGAGACACGGCCCAGACUCCUACGGGAGGCAGCAGUGGGGAAUAUUGCACAAUGGGCGAAAGCCUGAUGCAGCAACGCCGCGUGAGGGAUGACGGCCUUCGGGUUGUAAACCUCUUUUAGUAGGGAAGAAGCGAAAGUGACGGUACCUGCAGAAAAAGCACCGGCUAACUACGUGCCAGCAGCCGCGGUAAUACGUAGGGUGCAAGCGUUGUCCGGAAUUAUUGGGCGUAAAGAGCUCGUAGGCGGUUUGUCGCGUCUGCUGUGAAAUCUGGGGGCUCAACCCCCAGCCUGCAGUGGGUACGGGCAGACUAGAGUGCGGUAGGGGAGAUUGGAAUUCCUGGUGUAGCGGUGGAAUGCGCAGAUAUCAGGAGGAACACCGAUGGCGAAGGCAGAUCUCUGGGCCGUAACUGACGCUGAGGAGCGAAAGCGUGGGGAGCGAACAGGAUUAGAUACCCUGGUAGUCCACGCCGUAAACGUUGGGAACUAGAUGUGGGGGCACAUUCCACGUGUCUCCGUGUCGCAGCUAACGCA